CAUCGAGUCGCAUGUCAGCAAGAGGAGAGCUUUCCUCGUCUUAUGAGGCUGGACCAGACCAUUCAAGCAUGUCUGCCCACCUCUAACACACUCUCCUCAUUCAGUUCUGUCACAUCCGCUGCCCAGCAUGUUUCGGUGUACAGCAAUCAUUCAGCCUCACUGUCUUUCAAUGUGGGGGAUGGGAGGUAAACCAGGCUUUCUUGCCUUACCUCCUGUUCCUUUUUCAUCUGCUGCUAAUGUGAUAGGAGACAUGUGCAGUUCUCUCCCAGAGCCAGCAGACCCUGUACCAGUCACAGACCAGGCCCUCACAUCAUUCCCUGUGGGCUUCCUCAUCCCGCAUCAGGACAAUGGACAAUGUAACCCCCUCUAGACCAUCUCGGUAGAGCCCUGAAUUUCAGUUCGGGGUAGUAUGGAGAAAUUUGAAUUAUUUAUUAUUAAUCUAAUGUUUUCUGAUCAAUGUCGCAAAGUUUAAGUUGAUCCUGUCUUGCCAUCUCCUCAUUGGUUGUACCUUUAGGGAAAAAUGCAUCUUUAUAGAUUUUAUAAUUAAAGUCUUCAAUUUGAAUUAUUUCAUUUUAAUCUAGCAAUUUAAAGCUUUCUAUAGAUAUAUUUAUCAAGUCUGUGAGGCAAGUAUUCGCUGAGUUUCGGUUCAUUUUGUGAAACUCUCCAGUUCAAGACUGAGACCACAGAAAGCGCAUCCUAUUUGUUUUCUUUAUUUAUAUAAAAGCUCAACAUUUUGUUGAUAUUGUGAAUGCACACAAAUAAAAGUUUACAGUUCUGAAUGAUGUAUACCAAAAAUAACUUGAAAGCCUGCAGUCCACCAACGAAUACUUGACACAUUAUAUUCAAUCACUUCCUCCAACCAUGCCACAAACAGUAAGCCUUGCCAUGCCUGAUAAAUUUGAUAGUUCAGUGGAUAAAUGUAGAGGUUUUAUCCGACAAGUAGAAAUUUAUUUUGACCACCAGAAAGACAAGUUUGCUUCUGAUACCCAGAAAUGUGCUUUUUUUGAUGACACUCCUUGCGGGAAGAGCGAUUACCUGGGCUGCUGCUGUUUGGGAGUUGGAUUAGCUAAUUCAUACCUCUUAUGAAUAUUUUAAACAACAGCUACAUGAUGUGUUUGAAUAUCCCGCUGGGGGCAGGGAUAUUUCUACACAAUUACUUCUUAUGUCUCAAAGAAAUCUUUCGGCAGCAGACUACACAGUGGAGUUCAGAAUGCUGGCAGCACAGAGUGGAUGGAAUGAUGUCUUGCUGAAAGCAGUUUUCCAGCGGAGCCUAACUCAGGAACUUCAAGCAGAACUGGCCUGCAAGGGAACCUAUGCAACUGUCUCUCAAGGCUCUCUGAGAAGGAGAGCAUUCAACGACAACAGCACAACUUGUGUUUCUAUUGUGGAGAGUCUGGACAUCAUAGGUUGAAAUGCCCAUACAAGACGUUCUCCAAUUCCACACCCUGGUGCUGAUUAACUCUGGAGCUGCCUUAAACCUCAUUCACAAAGACAUCAUCAAAUACAACAUUCCCACUCAAUGUUGUAAACCACCUAUCAAGAUCCGAGCAGUUAAUAACUCACCCAUUGGAGACGGUAAUGCCAUUCUGUAAUGCCAGGCCAGCAGAGGGAGCCCUCGCCUGAGUAUUGACUGCCACGCUCUCUCUGCCUCUCUGUGUUGAUUAUUGUGUAUGACUUCUUGCCUGUUUGCUUCUACUUCUGAUAAUUUGAAUUUUCUUGUGUUUUGGCCGUCGAUUGGACUGCUUGACUGUGUUUUGACAACUGCCUGUUUUCUGAUGCUGAUUCUGGAUUGCCUUUCAAAUAAACUUCUGCACAUGGAUUCUUACUCAGCUUUAGCCUCAUCGUUACAAUUAUAUACAAAACUGAACUAUUUUAAUAGCUGAAACA